rnacentral:rRNA from 1 species
GGGGAAUAUUGGACAAUGGGGGCAACCCUGAUCCAGCAAUGCCGCGUGGGUGAAGAAGGUCUUCGGAUUGUAAAGCCCUUUCGGCGGGGACGAUGAUGACGGUACCCGCAGAAGAAGCCCCGGCUAACUUCGUGCCAGCAGCCGCGGUAAUACGAAGGGGGCUAGCGUUGCUCGGAAUGACUGGGCGUAAAGGGCGCGUAGGCGGCACAGUCAGUCAGAUGUGAAAUUCCUGGGCUUAACCUGGGGGCUGCAUUUGAGACGGCUGAGCUUGAGUUCGGAAGAGGGUCGUGGAAUUCCCAGUGUAGAGGUGAAAUUCGUAGAUAUUGGGAAGAACACCGGUGGCGAAGGCGGCGACCUGGUCCGGGACUGACGCUGAGGCGCGAAAGCGUGGGGAGCAAA